ensembl:lincRNA Gm15473 predicted gene 15473
AGUUUCUUCAAAGCCUUGCACCCACUGGACUUCUGUGGGGCCAUCCUUUCCUCCAGCUGAAGAGCAGACCCAUACCUUUACAUUUCGGUAGUUGUACUUGUGUGUCCGAGGACUUUUCAAGCAGGCCAAGAGGAGUGAGUGACCCUCCCAGUACCAACUUCUUGGCUGAUUUCAGAGACAAAAAGAAGUCAUGGAGCUCCUUGGGCAUCCCAGAGAUGAGCACGGGCCCUGGUUUCACUAUUGAAUGGUGGAGAUGUCCAUUUCUCCAAUGCUUUCUCUAGAGUCCUGUGCACUUCCAAGGAAGCUUCUCUCACAUCGUUGAUGCCCAUCAAGACUACCACUAUAUUGUUUUGUGAGCACUCAACACUAAAAAGCAACGGGAGGCUCACAGCAACUACUGCAGAAGCAGAUGAAGAUUUGAAGAAUUGGAGGCAUCUAGCCCAUACACUGUCUCAAACCAGAUGGCCGGGACCCAGAACUCCUUUUAUUUACUUAUGUUUUUCUGUUUAAAGAUCCAUAAUAAAUUACUUCCUAAGAGGUCAACGAUGAGUACAGAAAAGUGACAAACGAAGAAAACACUGUUUGGUGGCUGCUAACUGCAUGUGGCUAUUUAACUUUUAAUUAAAAUAUUUUUUAAAAUGUUAAUAAACUUAUAUCUUACCCUCUUGGUAAUACUAACCAUACUGCAUGUGGGAAAUCCCCCAAACACAGCUCAACUUCUCAAGGCUUCAUAAGAACUAAAACUAGCUUCUAUGAAGUUGGAAAAAGAUCUAAACCUUGCCUGAUUGCAAACACAAAAUGAGUAAUUCAUGAAAAUGAGUGGCAGUAAAUUCAGAAGGCAGAAACCAUACAAACUUAUCAGCAUAAGAAGAGGAAGAAGAGAAGGAAGAAGAGGAGGAUAUCAGGAAAUUCCUACAGAUAAUGAAGGGAUGUGGAGAGCCGUAAGUAAUCGCCAUUACAAGAUGGCGCUGGCUCCCGCUGUGCCUAGUAAACAAGCAUUGUGCGCAGAUUCGAGAGUGAAUUCACGCCAAGUCACUGCCCAUCUCGGGGCUUAGUAAUGAGGUGAUGGGCGAGCAACAAAUCAGGUGCUGACACGCCAUGCUGAGGGCUAUAUAAGCAGCACCAUUUUCUGGGUUCUGGCUCUUCCCUCCUGAAGAAGCAAUAAAGCUUUUGCUGCAG